UCUACACAUGGAGUCUCUUACAGUAGCAUCUCCCUGUGCCUGGAUAAUACUUGAUUUUGUUCUCCUGCCCAUGACAACUCUGAAAGGGUACCGAAGAGUCUUGAUAACAUUCAGGUUUUUCACUGAGUGUAGUUGUUUCCAUACAGAACUGCUUCUCCAUCUGUUUGCUUCCAUUUUGGCUCUAGCGCUGUUCCUGUCUAGCCCCUGCAGUUUCAGGGACAAAUACGUAUAGGUUCAGUUUUUCCCAGUAUAUACCCUGUCUUCAAUUUUUGAGCAAGAGGUUUGGCCUGCGAAGCUUGCGAUUUUUAAAUAAGCAUAAUUCUAUUUAAACUUAGUUUUAUCAUUAAACUUAAUAGCUAACGUAACACCGGAGUAACUAGACCAGAAUGAUGGUCCCUGUUGCCCACUCCUCUGCUGCUCCUUCUCAAGCCCUAUAGCACAGGACAGCAAAGUGCAUAAUGAUACUUCUUCCAAGUAUUCUUCCAAUCUCCAACCAUUUUUCUUUUAGGGACUUACUGAAUCAUUAGUUUUAUCAAUACGGUGCUAUUUAGGGGCUCUUCUGUGGAUUUGUUGAGUUGACUUUUGAAAACUCUCAGCUUUCACAGUGGAAAGGAGUUUCCCAUUUCACAGCUGGUGCUCUGUGAAGAAAUGCCUCCUCUUGUUUGCUUUGAACUUCACCUGCAGUCUGUUCUGGGAGCCAUAAAUCCGUAAACGAAAUGCAGUGAACAUGGGUUCGUGUCUGGAGUUAUUUUAAAAAAUUGUUCAUUAAUCAGCACUUAAAGGGUGGUAAUCUGGACCACGCGAUAAAUUUUGUUGCCCAGUCAGAACAGAACUACUUUUUUUCCUGAAAUCUCUACAGAGUGCAAGGGAGGAGAAGAAAGGUCUGUACUGUACUCAUUACAUAUUUAUUAUGUCAUUCAUAUUCCACUAAUUUAGCCUCCUCAUUCUCUUACAGUCUCAUUUGCUUUUGCUGAGAAAAGCAUUUAUUUAAUUGAAGGCUCAGUCUAAAUAAAGCAUGCUACUGAUUGCUUAUGCUGAUUAUUCCAGGCAUUCUCUUCCUAAUUUGGAAAAUCUGCUUGCUUUUCUUUGAUUUAUUUUUAUAUUAGUAAUUUUCUUCCUAUAUUUUUACACCGUCCAUAGUGCUGGGUUGAGCAGUUUGAUUUCCAACUGAGACUAGGCCAGUUGCGUUUUGGGCACAGAAAACCUGCUUCAGAAUGGUCUUUGUAUGUUAGGAACUAGAGUUGGAAAACAACUUCUUCUGAAUUCAGGGUUUUUUGGAAGCAAGCCAUGGAAGUGUGUGUAAUUACAGAAAUUAGAUUCAGACACCCCUGGAAUUUAAACUAGUUCAAGUCUGAAUUCCAGCCCAGUAUCCAGGUUGUGUGAGAAAAUUUGUUUUCUAGGUGCACAUAUCUUUAUGAAAUUAUAUUUAGUAUUUCAAGAUAAAUGUGCGAGCAUCAUUUUCCAUCCUGCUUUAGCUGAUUUGGAUCAUUGCAAUAAAUGCAUCUAGAUUUCCUUUGAGACUGGGACUCAGUUUGUAUUUCUGGAAUUAACUUGAACUAACAAACAUCCAAUUUUCAAGAAGUUAGGAAAACAGAUGUACUUACAAAAUCAUACUGUUGCAUUGAGAUUUUUUCCCUCUUUGCUACCCAGGCUUUCAUACAUCAUGCUAGUCUGUGCUAUCACAUCAGAUCUCAUUAAUAGUGUUCUGUGCAAUGUUCUGCUAUACUUCAUUUAUUCCUAUAAGCCGUUGAGCUCUACCACUGUAAGAGCUCAGACUACCAGCAGCUGGAGACUUUUGGCAACAUUCAUGACUUGGUACAGGAAAUCUUGACAGUAAAAAUAAGUCAUUUUUAUUGAAAUACUGCUCCAUGGGAAGACAAUUGAAGCUUGUGACAAUACUUCAACAGUGCCAGCUUUCAGAGAGGUCUUCCAAAAAUCUUCUUGUUUUUUAAAUCGGGAUGUUUGAAAGCACGUUCAUCCUGUCCAUGCUGACUGUCAUCUGCUGGGCUCUGGUGCCACGUUAUCCCCAGUGGCCCCAAACUAACAAGUACCUGGCUGCCUAAUGGUGACUUCUCCUGCAGGGAGAGGGACAUGGCCACCCUCUCACUCCCAUGUGAAACCCUUGGUUUCAAACACGAUUGUCACAUAGCCUUGUAGUGCUCUUUCCCCUCGCUCUUGCCUUUAUGGGGAAGGAGAGAAGACCAUCCACUGUAUGUCUAAUGAAAUAUGAUAAAAGAAUGCUGAGAAAAAAAAUAUACAUUACAGUUCAUUGGCAUAAUGUUAAGGAAUGUAUCUGCUGUCUGUUUAAUAAAGCAAAAAUAGGUCAUGGUGAGCAUUUCACUUUACAAAUAGAGACAUUUUAUGAUUUAACUAUUCCUUGAACUGAAAGGUUGGUCAAAGGAGAGAUUGAAAAAGAUGGAGUUGUCUGUUGGGCCUCUAGGAAAAGGUGGGCCAUGGUCCCCUUCCCUCCCUGCCCCACGUGGAGUUGGAAACAAACCCAGUCUUCUGUGUCCCUGCAUUAUUCUACACUGCAGAAUACAAGAGCAGUGCAGUAACAAGGAAGAGAGGGAAGUCUGGGGGCUGUGGGACUGCAACCCAACAAUAAGCUGCGACCGGGACAUAAUCACUCUCAUAGGAAUUACACAUGACACACAGCUAAAUGCCUUUGUUCUCUUACAGUGCAAUUAUGUCAAAAUCUUGCUGACCCCUUUUCCCUGGUGCUGCAGAACUGUUGUUUGGAAGGAUUUCUCAGAGUGAUAAAGUACAAUUUGUGGGAAGAAGAUGCUGUACUUUUAAAAUUCUUUAAAAUAGCCUGAGCUUCUCCUGCUAACCAACUGCCUUCUGCAUGAUAUCCACCAUGUAAUGAACCAUUUUCUCAUCUGAUUCUUGUCAGAAGUAAAAUCGACAGCAUGCUAAUGACAGUGACAUAGCUAAAGUUUCCUUUGAAGUUUUCCAAAAUUUUUUACUAUCACAAGGUGGAAAAUAUUUCAGUUAGGACUCCAUUCCUUUCAGAACGAUACUCUGCUCAGGUCAUGUGGGGACUUAAAUGGUGGUCAUCAAGAAUAGCCUCUUCCAAAUCAGAGCUGCUGCACUGUGUGAAGACCUGACAGCUGUAUUUAUUGAGUCACCCCUGGGCCCGGUUGGCCAGGUCAUCCCUUUCUGUACCAAUAUUUUCUGUGAAGCAACCAAAGCAAAUUUCAGAUACUCAUUUGGAUCUGUUUCCCCGGAAUGCCAAUCAGUCAACUUAACCGUAUCCAUUACACCAUCCCUGUAGGAAAAGCCUUUGUAAUGCAACCUGCUGUUCUAGUUCACAAAGCUUGAAGAGAGAACUAUGAGAAAAAGAGAAAAUGGGAAAUGCCAAUAAUACUUGUCAGUCUUACCAGAGCUUUGAACACGGAUCAACAAGAGCUUGCUGAAGCUCUUGUAAUGACUGCUUACGUGAUGUGUUGGCUUUAGAAAGCAGACGCUGGAAAUAAUGGGAGAGAAAAAAUCUUCAGAGGAACUUUUGGAAUUUUCUGUUGAGAACUGUGUGUAGUAGAAACCACAAACAGAGUAU